AAAGUUAUUUCUGUUAAAAUUCUUAUUUGAAGUUUUGGGAAUACGGAUUGAAGCCGUAACUGUACCCGCAACUGUGUUUUAGUUUAUCUAAUAAGUCAGAUUACCAAGAUUUCAAGCCAUCUACCUA
rnacentral:ncRNA from 2 species